rnacentral:sRNA from 1 species
AAAAAAAUAUAAUAUAAAAAAUGGGUGAAAGGGUUGCCAUCGCGUGGGCGAUAUUUUUCUAAGUGCGGGAAUCGAUAGUAGCUUUAAAGUAUGGCAACUCCCCCACCCUAUUUAUUCUAGUGCAUUUAGUUGAAUUGAACGUGUUGAAUUGCAUUUAACAAAAGAAAUCUACUAAUAAUACUAAUUAUAAUUAGUGGGUAGAAUUACUAGAAUAAAGAAGAAAUUGUCGCAUUGUUUUUAUCGCAUUGUUUUGAUGUUUAUGUAUGUAUGUUAGUAUGUAUAUCAGCAAAAUCAGUUAUGCACAUAUCAGUUAUGCACAUAUAUGCCAUGCUAUAUUUGAAUCAACAAGGAGUGAUUUUUCCACCUACGACGACUUCAUUAGGGCCAUCCGGGAUGGAAUAAGGAGAGCCAAAAAUAAAAAUUAUAAGGAAAAAUCCAAAAAAAACAAAGAAAAUU